rnacentral:tRNA from 3 species
GGGGGCGUAGCUCAGUUGGUUAGAGCGCAUGCUUCACAUGCAUGAGGUCAUAGGUUCGAGCCCUAUCGUCCCUACCA